CCGCGGUAAUACGUAGGGCGCAAGCGUUGUACGGAAUUAUUGGGCGUAAAGAGCUCGUAGGCGGCUGGUCGCGUCUGUCGUGAAAACUUCCGGCUCAACCGGGGGCUUGCGGUGGGUACGGGCCGGCUAGAGUGCGGUAGGGGUAACUGGAACUCCUGGUGUAGCGGUGGAAUGCGCAGAUAUCAGGAAGAACACCGAUGGCGAAGGCAGGUUACUGGGCCGUUACUGACGCUGAGGAGCGAAAGCGUGGGGAGCGAACAGG
rnacentral:rRNA from 1 species